CAGUAGCCACGGUAAUACGGAGGGUGCAAGCGUUAAUCGGAAUUACUGGGCGUAAAGCGCACGCAGGCGGUCUGACAAGUCAGAUGUGAAAUCCCCGGGCUUAACCUGGGAACUGCAUUUGAAACUGUCAGGCUGGAGUCUUGUAGAGGGGGGUGGAAUUCCAGGUGUAGCGGUGAAAUGCGUAGAGAUCUGGAGGAAUACCGGUGGCGAAGGCGGCCCCCUGGACAAAGACUGACGCUCAGGUGCGAAAGCGUGGGGAGCAAACAGGAUUAGAUACCCGAGUAGUCCCUGUCUCUUAUAU
rnacentral:rRNA from 1 species